UGAUCCUACGGGACGCAGCAGUGGGGAGUAUUGCACAAUGGGGGAAACCCUGAUGCAGCGACGCCGCGUGAGCGAAGAAGUAUUUCGGUACGUAAAGUUCUAUCAGCAGGGAAGAAAAUGACAGUACCUGACCAAGAAGCCCCGGCUAACUACGUGCCAGCAGCCGCGGUAAUACGUAGGGGGCGAGCGUUAUCCGGAUUCACUGGGCGUAAAGGGAGCGCAGGCGGCACGGCAAGUCCGGUGUGAAAGCCCGGGGCCCAACCCCGGGACUGCACUGGAAACUGCCGGGCUGGAGUGUCGGGGGG
rnacentral:rRNA from 1 species